rnacentral:rRNA from 1 species
CGCCUUGCCAGCCCGCUCAGAACUUAAAGGAAUUGACGGGGCCGCACAAGCGGAGGAGCAUGUGGUUAAUUCGAUGAUACGCGAGGAACCUUACCUGGGCUCGAACGUAAGAUGACUGUAGGUGAAAGCUUACAUCUCUUCGGAGCAUUUUACGAGGUGCUGCAUGGUUGUCGUCAGCUCGUGCCGUGAGGUGUCGGGUUAAGUCCCAUAACGAGCGCAACCCCUACCUUUAGUUGCCGUCAGGUAAUGCUGGGGACUCUAAAGGAACUGCCUACGCAAGUAGUGAGGAAGGCGGGGAUGACGUCAAAUCAGCACGGCCCUUACGUCCAGGGCUACACACGUGCUACAAUGGCCGAUACAGAGGGCAGCUACCUGGUGACAGGAUGCAAAUCUCCAAAGUCGGUCUCAGUUCGGAUCGGAGUCUGCAACCCGACUCCGUGAAGUUGGAUUCGCUAGUAAUCGCGCAUCAGCCAUGGCGCGGUGAAUACGUUCCCGGGCCUU